AGAGUUUGAUCCUGGCUCAGGACGAACGCUGGCGGCGUGCCUCAUACAUGCAAGUGGAGCGACGAACCAGGGCUUGCCCUGGAGCAAAGCCGCGAACGGGUGAGUAACACGUGGGUAACCUGCCCCGAAGACCGGGACAACCCGAGGAAACUCGGGCUAAUACCGGAUGUGCUCGCCGCGCUCAAGCGCGACGCGUAAAGGAAGCUUCGGCCUCCGCUUUGGGAGGGGCCCGUGGCCCAUUAGCUUGUUGGUGAGGUAACGGCUCACCAAGGCUGCGAUGGGUAGCUGGUCUAAGAGGACGGUCAGCCACACUGGGACUGAGACACGGCCCAGACUCCUACGGGAGGCAGCAGUAGGGAAUCUUGCGCAAUGCGCGAAAGCGUGACGCAGCAACGCCGCGUGGGGGAAGAAGGCCUUCGGGUUGUAAACCC
rnacentral:rRNA from 1 species